AACGGGUGUCCAAACCCUCAUCUUCUGCAUACUUUUUCGACAACUCUUCCGCAAUGAAUUGACUGCUGAGCUAACUGACUGCCUAACGGACUUAUAGCUGCACUAAUCCCGACUCCUCCACGCAUCAACCGUGUGCCCCAAGGCCGGCAUUUUUAAUUAAACCCAGUUGCCUUGUCAGUCAUUUCAACGAACUGGCCAGUUAGCUGAAGGUGGGCAGGCCACGCCGAAUUUUUCAACAAUCAUUGCAACAACCCACAGAUCUCGCCUAUGGCAAGUUGGUGAGAAAACAGUAAGAUUUUACAGUUUGAACUCAAAAUUUCAAUGCUGCACACAAUCACUGGUCUCGUCUUCACUUGGCGCAAAAAGCUACUUUUGUACUCACUCGCUAGUGGGCAAAUUUUUGCAACCCUGAGCGUCAAACCUGAAAUGCAUUGUGUCAAAAACAGGCGUUGCCAUCUAAAUGUAUUACUUUAUUUGCAUUUCAUCUAUUUACCUUACUUGGUUAGGUAUGAUUGACAUUUG